rnacentral:rRNA from 1 species
GAGUUUGAUCAUGGCUCAGGACGAACGCUGGCGGUGCGCCUUAUGCAUGCAAGUUGAGCGAAGCUUUUCAGUAGUUUACUACAGAAAAUGACUGAGCGGCGAACGGGUGAGUAACGCGUGAGCAAUCUACCUUAGUUACUGGGAUAGCCCGAGGAAACUCGGAUUAAUACCGGAUAUUCUUAUUUUUUCACAUGAAGUUUUAAGGAAAGGUCAGCCGAACUAAGAUGAGCUCGCGUUCUAUCAGCUAGUUGGUGGGGUAAAAGCCUACCAAGGCUACGACGGAUAGCUGGUCUGAGAGGACGAUCAGCCACACUGGGACUGAGACACGGCCCAGACUCCUACGGGAGGCUGCAGCAGGGAAUAUUGCGCAAUGAGCGAAAGCUUGACGCAGCGACACCGCGUGUGGGAUGACGGUUCUAGGAUUGUAAACCACUUUCAGGAGGGAAGAAAAUGACGGUACCUCCACAAGAAGACCCGGCCAACUACGUGCCAGCAGCCGCGGUAAUACGUAGGGGUCAAGCGUUGUCCGGAUUUAUUGGGCGUAAAGAGCUCGUAGGCGGUUCAACAAGUCGGUCGUAAAAGUUUAGGGCUCAACCCUAAAAUGUCGAUCGAUACUGUUGUGACUAGGAUACGGUAGAGGUGAAUGGAAUUCCGAGUGUAGCGGUGAAAUGCGUAGAUAUUCGGAGGAACACCAAUUGCGAAGGCAGUUCACUGGACCGUGAUCGACGCUGAGGAGCGAAAGCUAGGGGAGCAAACAGGAUUGGAUACCCUGGUAGUCCUAGCUGUAAACGAUGGAUACUAGAUGUAGGAACUGGAUUGACGGUUUCUGUAUCGUAGCUAACGCGUUAAGUAUCCCGCCUGGGGAGUACGGUCGCAAGACUAAAACUCAAGGAAUUGACGGGACCCCGCACAAGCGGCGGGGCAUGCGGCUUAAUUCGAUGAUACCCGUAGAACCUUACCUGGACU